rnacentral:piRNA from 2 species
UCCACUCAUCCAUUGGCACUACCGCG